GGCUCCUCUCCGGGUAAUUACAUUUUGCGGAGUGGGAGCAGCCGUCACUUCCUCACAGCGAGCCUCUGAACAUGGUUGAUAUCACCGAUGGUCCAUCUGAAAGCUGUCAACCGCCUCAGCGGCCCAGUUCUUCCUGUUUCCUUGGAAGUGGCCCAGUGGUGGAGUGGUCCAGUGGCUUUUAGGUCAAGAAGCGAGUCGUCUUCCUGAUGGCAGAAGCAUUGGAGCUCACCCUUGCGUGUAGUUGGCAGUAACUCACCGCCAGCUGCAUUCAGAACAAUUAAACCUGGAUGAUCUCGGAGAAGAGAGGUCGCCCACCUCAGAGUUCAAAACCCGCCGAAGACUCCCCGUCCUCCUCCGCUUCCUUCCAUUCAAACAGACACGCGCGUUAGCUUCUCCAACCUGAUAGGACGUCGCCCAGAGCAGCUGAACUCUGGUGAAGAAAGUCUCGGAUCAUAAGCUCCACACUUUUUCUCCGGUUCCUCCUGUUGCGGGAGAUUUAUUGAAUGAAAUAACACUGGCUUCACUUUUACCUCUGCUUUUAUGAAUAUAUAUUGUUUUAACAGCACUUUUCAAUUCCUCCUACGCUCCUGUUAGGGUCACGGCUUGGCUCUCCUCUCUUCAAUGAUUCAACAUGAUAAAAAGAUUUUAAACAUUAUCAUAAACUAUUUGUCCUGGGCAGGCUUUCUGCUGAAGUGUGGAAAUGAUAUUCUCCUCAGAGAAACACUGAGGGGUGUGUAAUGUGUGAGUUUUAUAGUCUUUUGCUGAUCCCGUGCAGUUUGUGUGUAACCGGACAGGAAAUCUUAAAGUUUGGCUGCAGAACUAAAAGAAGCAAGUUAAUGCAACAGUGCUGAGAUUUGUUCUUUA